rnacentral:tRNA from 1 species
GUUGUGGCUCAGAGGUAGAGCACUUGCCUAGCAUGCGUGAGGCAGUGGGUUCGAUCCUCAGCACACA